rnacentral:rRNA from 1 species
GACGAACGCUGGCGGCGUGCUUAACACAUGCAAGUCGAGCGGUAAGGCCCUUUCGGGGGUACACGAGCGGCGAACGGGUGAGUAACACGUGAGCAACCUGCCCUUCUCUUUGGCAUAAGCGUUGGAAACGACGUCUAAUGCCGAAUAUGACCCCCUGUCGCAUGGUGGGGGGUGGAAAGCUCUGGCGGAGAAGGAUGGGCGCGCGGCCUAUCAGCGUGUUGGGGUGGGUAAUGGCCCACCAAGGCGACGACGGGUAGCCGGCCUGAGAGGGUGACCGGCCACACUGGGACUGAGACACGGCCCAGACUCCUACGGGAGGCAGCAGUGGGGAAUAUUGGACAAUGGGCGAAAGCCUGAUCCAGCAACGCCGCGUGAGGGAUGACGGCCUUCGGGUUGUAAACCUCUUUCAGCAGGGACGAAGCGAGAGUGACGGUACCUGCAGAAGAAGGACCGGCCAACUACGUGCCAGCAGCCGCAGUAA